CUGCUCUGUUUCAUACCCCUUUGAGACGUCAUAGACAUGCACAAAGUCUGCCGGUUCGGCCAUGGCCAUGUAUUUUCCAUCGGACGUGUAGCGGAUCGACCGGAUUGCUCCAAGGUUACCCUUCAAGACAGCAACGGAGUGAGAUAGGUUGCGGAUGUCCCAUACACGGCAGGUCUUGUAUUGGUUUCCAGUUGAGAAAGUGAUUCCGUCAGGAUGCCACGCUGAGGCAAAGGAAUAGUCAAAAUGUCCUGAUAGUGUUUCCAGCGUCUGUAGAUGAAGUUUUUUAAAGAUUUGGCAUUAUAAAAGUGGUGACCAACCAUUUGAGACUAACUUACACACUUGGGUUCAGGAUCUAGCUAAUAUGUACCUUUCCUGUGUUGGGGUCUACUAUAAGGCCCUCGGGAUUGUCGCCAACAAUAGCUAGUAAUUUACCAUUAGGACUCAAUGAUGUGUGCUGUUACCAACAAAUGGAAGACAGAAGAACAUAAUUAGCCUAACUGAAACUCCGAAUUAUGCCAAAAUAAAAGGAAAACUAUGAGAGAAGCAAGGACUUUACGUUCACUGGCCAAGGAAAGGAAAAAUGCUUAACAAGCUGGUAUCUCUCCAUGUCAAAAUCUCUAACUCCACAGUCAUUAUUCGAGGCAGUAAAAUGAAGAGCACCACUAUGAACAGAUGACAAAAACUAAGUUAGAAGCAGUGACUCUAACAAUUUAAAUGUAGACCCUUCAGCAGAAACUUGGGUUUGUUGUAGAUCUCAAUAGCAUUGGUAAUAGCAUUAUCUUCAUAAGUAGUACGAGAGCAAAAGCUGACGCCAGGUCUAUCAAGAUGCUGAAACCAAUGUGGAAAGUAGAAAGAUGUUUUUCCUACAAAUUUGCAAAAUCACAUUUUCCGGCCAAAGUCGUAAAAUCAUAUCCCCAAAAUCAUGAAAUCACGCUUCCCGCAUAAACCGUGAAAUAUUUUUUUCCCGGAAAACCAUAUAUCAUGUUUUCGCGUCAAAACCGUAAAAUUAUGUUUUUCCACCAAAAUCGUAAAAUCACAUUUUUCGCCAAAACUAUGUUAGAACCGUAAAAUUACGAUUUCUGCAAAAAUCGCAAAAUUAAGUUUUUCCGUCAAAACCGUAAAUCACAUUUUCCUCAAAACCACAAAUUACGUUUCCCACUUUCUUGGUAGAAUUAUUCAUGUCUACCACCACUAAAGAGAUAUUUUUAAAAAACAUUCUUCAUUAAGUGGCAAAAGACUUUUAUAUCUUUGUUCUAUAUAUAUAUAUGAUAAAUAAUUAUUUAAAUAAACUAAAAUAUAUUUUUAUAUAUAUCCCCUUAUAUUAAAUUUUUGAAGUUAUAAAUAUGGUCAACUUGAUAAUUUUAAUUAUUUAAGGCACUUUACAAACAAAUAAAAUGAUAAGGACUAAAAUAUAAUAACUUAAGAAAAUAAAUCAAUAUAUUUUAGUAUAUACUGACACGUGUCAGUUACGAGGCAUGUUUUAGCUAUUUAUUAUGAGUUUAGGUAUGAACUUCAAAAUUUCAUUUAGUUUACGAAUGUUUUAGCACGUUAAUAUACUCUAGAUACGUAUUUUCUCCGCUUUCAUAGUGUGAAUAUGAAUAAGCCGUUUUCCCCAGUAAGAAACAGACAACAAACGAAGUUAGAAGCAGUGACUCUUAACAAUCUAAUGCGGACAGCAAAAGAAAGAGGCAAAAAACCUGGGUUUGUUGUAGAUUUCAAUAGCAUUGGUAAUAGCAUUAUCAUCAUAAGUAGUACGAGAGAAAAAGCUGACCCCAGGUCUAUCAAGAUGCUGAAACCAAAGUGGAAAGUAGAAAUAGAUGAAGCUUUGUCAAUAAUAAUGCAUAUGGCUUCUCUUUUUUUUUUGCGCAACGCAUAUGGCUACUCAAUAAUCAAUAUAUCCAGACUCUUGACUUUGCAUAUAAGAUCUCCUUGAAUCCACCGGCAAUUAUUCGUCUUUUAUUGCAAGUGUGCUUAUAUGUGUAAACUCUUCCAGCAAACUUCCAUGGUGUUUCUAAGGGGCUGCUAGUUGGAGUUUGAUUUAUAUAGAUUUAGUUGAUUAGAAGAGUAUAUAGACUUGUUGAAUUCGGAAUGAGUUGGAGAAAAUUUUGUAACAAUCUAUAAAAAUAAAUAACUAUAAUAUUUUUUAGAAUCCAAAGGAUAUAUGUAGUAUUUUUUAUGAGUUAAAUAAUUAAGAAUACAAUUCUCAAUAACAGUAACUUUAAUAAAUUUACAGAAAUAUUAAAAUCCAAACUUUCGAAUAACAAAUGAUUUUUAGAUUUUAGUGAGAAUAUGAAAAUCUAUAAAUCAAUAACACUACUAUUUAAAUUCUAAAAAUUAAUUCCACUAACACCUUCUAAAUGCACCAAAAAAUCAAAUAAGUAUAUUAUUUUAAUGGGCCGUGUGGUUAGACAAACUCAUUAACUAAUCAAUGGGCUUUAUUAACAUUAUCUCACUAAUCUAGUCAAUGUAUAUAGAUAUGUAUCUAGCCAAAAAAAGGAAGCAAUCUUAAUUUGUAUCUUUUUGGUCUUGUUAAGACUAAAACAGUUAUUAACACAUCAGCAAUACUUAUCUAAUUAAUUAAUUACAUUUAUUUUUUAAAUAUCAUUAAAGCUUUGAAUGUUUACAACCACACCAUAGUUAAUAAUUACGAAAAUCUCUACAUAUAUUUGUGUAUAUCAGAAACGCAAACGUAGUUGUUACGCAAGCUAACAUUCGGACCUUAUGUUUUCUCCUUAGGUGUUAAGGAACUGAUUUAUUAUAAAGAUAAUAAGGUCCUCACAAACUCUCCAUUCACCAAGACAACAAAAAAAAAAGAUGUCAACAGUUUCACCCUCCUCGCAACUGGUUCAGGUGGUUCCAGACAACCACAACAACACUGACGACUCCUCUGCGGAGGUCAACUACGAAGAUCUUGUCCGUAAGUCAUGUCUAUUUGACCUUUUAUUUGACAUUCAGGUUCAUUAGUUUCCUCACAGGUUUAAAACAUUUUACAACACUCAUGUUCUUGUUUUCUCUUUACUUUGUAACAUGCUGAGACACCAUACCUCUUAUGUUUUUCAGAGGAAGCAAUGGAGAGCUUGUCCCUCGAGGAAGGUAUUAAAAAAAGGUUUCUCUAACUCUGUGGCUUUGUAUCACUUUGCGACUUAUUGAAUUUCCACCUUAUGGAACUUGCAGGCACUGUUGAACCGCAGAUUGGGGAUGUGGGAGACGGAGUCAUUGAUGGGACGACGUCCGAAGGUGGAUACCUGGUGACGAUGAAAUUCGGUUCUCAAGUGCUGAAAGGAGUGCUUUACCAUCAUGCUAAAAGGCCCCAACAAGCCAUGGGAACACCACCUUCAGGCAUGCCACCAGCAUCGCAGCGCCGAGCUAAGAAGAAAGCCAGAGAGACUACUCAAGUUGAUUCUAAGAAACCCAAAUUCCGCAGGAGUGGCUACAAACCUAAGAAACAGGUCACUUACUUAUAGUUAUCAUCAAAUCAAAUCCUUUAACCAAGUGUUUGCUUAUAAUCUGAUACCAUUUUCUUACAGGUUUAUCAAGACAAAGGAGUUACGGAUGGGGAGAGGUACAGAACUGAGAUCAUGCUGGAGUACGAGUCUGCACAUGAGUCUGAUGGAGCGUCUGCUUCUGCAGCCGCCACCAUGGCUCAGUAGUCUUUUCUUCUUCUGUUAUGUUGUUGUCUUCUUCUUUCUUUAUUACAUUUCUCUUUCUUCUUUCUUUCUCUGGACAAGUUCUCUUUCUUUUAUAAUGAAUAUUUAUAAUGUCUUUGAUCAGUUUGCAGAACAUGUCAUGUUUAUGGUUGUAGGGUUAGUAAAAGAGGUUACUAACUGCGCAUUUAUGUCUUUCUUGCUAUUUUGAUUCAUGAUAUCCCGUUUGUUUGUUUUUUUUGUUUCUGUUUUCAACUUGGAUAUAUCUUAUGUUGUUGCAGAAAUUUGAAUGAACUAUUAUUACUCUUUUCGUUCCAAAUUAAUUCAUGUUUUAGAAAAAAAGUAUUUUAAGAAGAUAUAUUUUUAUUAGAUAAUAAUGUAAAAUUUUAAAUUUUGAAAAGAAAUCGUGUUUACUGUACUUCGAUGGAUAAAAAUUAUAGAAAAUAUAGUUAAACACAAAAUAAUGCAUUUAUAAUUAAGAUCAAACAUAUUUUUAAUAUGUGUGGAAAAAUUUAAAACAUACAUUUUUUGAAAUGGGGUAGGGAACAUCAUUUAUUUAACACAUAUGUUUCUUGAAUCCCAUUUUUGUUGUUAGUUUUCAAGAGUUUCAACAUGUUCUCCCAACAUAUAAAAAGCUUGUUUUGAUAAUCAAUUUGUGAAAUAACCAAAAAUAAAGAGAGAAUGGGUGAUUUUGGUUAGUUAGUGGAUUUUGUUUUUUUUUGUAUAUUGGACCUAAUUUCCCAUUAAUAAUGCAAUGAAUGUUUUUAAGCCAACAUGUCAUAUUUGGCAAGAAUGCGUUCAAGGCAACACAAAUUUUUGUGAGAAACUUCAUUGAUGUUUUCAUAAUUGAAACAACUAACCAACACUACUUACUGUACACAUCUUGAACCUUCAGAAUUCACAAGGAAACAACAUGCAAGCCGCCGGCAAAGGAAACAAAAAGACAGUAACUACAAUAGCAUUUGCAUAACACAUCAUUUACACCUUUUAAGACAUCCAUUAUAUUCUAUGCUUCUGCUUUUGUAUGAGCUCUCUUUUAUUCCUUGGAACGGGUUGUGUAUACUUCUCUUCUUCGCUUAAAGAAACGAAUCAAGAUAGGUGUAGUUUCUGCGCCGAUGAUACUCAAGGAGGCUACCAUAAGUGCGGUCCCAUACUCCAAUGAAGAGCGCCUCUGUGUCAGGGCUGAAUGAUAUUCCAGAUAUCUCUCCAAAGAAGUCGAUCUCCUGCUCUGUUUCAUACCCCUUUGAGACGUCAUAGACGUGCACAAAGUCUGCCGGUUCGGCCAUGGCCAUGUAUUUUCCGUCGGACGUGUAGCGGAUCGACCGGAUUGCUCCAAGGUUACCCUUCAGGACAGCAACAGAGUGAGAUAGGUUGCGGAUGUCCCAUACACGGCAGGUCUUGUCUUGGUUUCCAGUUGAGAAAGUGAUUCCGUCAGGAUGCCACGCUGAGGCAAAGGAGUAGUCAAAAUGUCCUGAUAGUGUUUCCAGCGUCU
rnacentral:lncRNA from 1 species